rnacentral:rRNA from 1 species
GAUUAUUGGGCCUAAAGCAUCCGUAGCUUCGUUUUGUAAGUUUUCCGGUUAAAUCCAURCGCUUAACGUAUGGGCUGCCGGGAAUACUGCAUAACUAGGAAGUGGGAGAGGUAGACGGUACUCGGUAGGAAGGGGUAAAAUCCUUUGAUCUAUUGAUGACCACCUGUGGCGAAGGCGGUCUACCAGAACACGUUCGACGGUGAGGGAUGAAAGCUGGGGGAGCAAACCGGAUUAGAUACCCGGGUAGUCCCAGCUGUAAACUAUGCAAACUCAGUGAUGCAUUGGCUUGUGGCCAAUGCAGUGCUGCAGGGAAGCCGUUAAGUUUGCCGCCUGGGAAGUACGUACGCAAGUAUGAAACUUAAAGGAAUUG